UACGUAGGUGGCAAGCGUUGUCCGGAUUUACUGGGCGUAAAGAGCGCGUAGGCGGUUGAUUAAGUCGAAUGUGAAAGCCCCCGGCUCAACUGGGGAGGGUCAUUCGAUACUGAUUGACUUGAAGGCAGGAGAGGGAAGUGGAAUUCCCGGUGUAGUGGUGAAAUGCGUAGAUAUCGGGAGGAACACCAGUGGCGAAGGCGACUUCUUGGCCUGUUCUUGACGCUGAGGCGCGAAAGCUAGGGGAGCAAACGGG
rnacentral:rRNA from 1 species